UACGUAGGGGGCUAGCGUUGUCCGGAUUUAUUGGGCGUAAAGAGCUCGUAGGUGGUUUGUCGCGUUGUCCGUGAAAACUCACAGCUUAACUGUGGGCGUGCGGGCGAUACGGGCAGACUGGAGUACUGCAGGGGAGACUGGAAUUCCUGGUGUAGCGGUGGAAUGCGCAGAUAUCAGGAGGAACACCGGUGGCGAAGGCGGGUCUCUGGGCAGUAAUUGACGCUGAGGAGCGAAAGCGUGGGGAGCGAACAGG
rnacentral:rRNA from 1 species